CUCUUCUCUCUUCCUCUUCCCAGGCAAUUUUCAGGCUGUUGGAAGAAAACUCGAAAUCACGCCGUGAACUUCUAAUCCCAUCAUCGAUUAAUUCUUCAUGAAAAGUUCAUGGGCUUGAUUACUCUACAAGAGUUUCUAUGUAACUCCAACCGUUGAGCCAGAGAAAAAUUCCUUCUCCGAAGGCAGUUGGAACAAGAACGUACACAUGGUUCUAUUGAUCACGAGCAAUCACACAAGCUCCUACACAUGGUUCACUAAUGGAACUUAGAAAUUAAGACAGAUUCUUCCCAAACUCAAAAUCAAAAAGUAAUAAUAUUAUAUAUGUUGGUGUACCCCUAAGAGGAGUUCACUGAUCAGUACAUGCUCUUAGGCUUGUUGGCAUUGUAUCGACUUGUUCCAGAGAUGCUCUAACAAUUUUUAAAAGAAUAUAUAUACUUCACAAUUUAGUUUAACUUUGUUGCUAAUCACUAUGUUGUACCAUUUUGCACUACUGUAUAUAUAUGAUUCUGAUAUAUGAUAGCGUUA